ensembl:lincRNA
UUUUGACAUCUGUUUUGUGCUUCCAAGUGGAAAAGUGCUGGGAAUGGGAGGAGCCGUGUACGGAGGCUAGGUCAGAUCCAAAGGUCAGUGAGUGGUUCAGGAUUAAAUGAGUCACAGGGCACUAGAUGGGGAAAACCUAGGGCUUUAGCUCCCCGGUGCAAUUCCCCUCCAUUCUCACUAUAGCAAGCAGUUCUCAGAAAGAGAAAGGAGGCCCCAAGCAGCUGCUGGGGGCUUGAGAGGAUUGGAGGGUGGGGGCGUUCCCACCUGUAGUUCAGGAGGGGCAGUCAGAGGCUGCAGUUUUUCAUUGUUGCCUGGUGCCCAACACCUCUUCCGCAAUGCUGGGGGAUUUCCAUGUCUUGUUAGCAUUAUGACCAGUAGUGUGAGCCUUGCUUUCCCAGGGAAUAUAGGAUCUAAUACAUGCAUUCACUUAUGCAGCAAUAUCACUUAAAAGUUUUCUAAUACUUACGAACACCUAAAGGAGACACUCUUUUAGUCCCUGAAUUAAUGGAAAUCCCUCUGACUCACCUCUUCCUCAGCAUAAAAAAGAAAACAAUUAGGUAGCCUCUCACACAAACAGGUCAUGACAGAUAGUUUAGUCAUAGACAGCCGGAGUCGUAAAGACUUAGGCUAGUGAGCUUGUCUCAUAUAAAUUUGUAGGAAUUUUUUGCAAGAUAGUAAAUUUUCUCUAGGAAAUGUAAUUAGACACAUAGUCUCAUUUGAACCCUUUCAAGGAAGGCUUUGCACAAAGCACAUUUACUCUCCUGUGAGGCAGGCUGAGUCUCCCGCGUCUUCAGUCAAUGUGCCUGGGAAAAUGAGACUCGGUAAUAAAAAAUCUGUUUAUUCUGGGCAGUGCCCUGUGACCAUGACCAGAUUUGGGGAUGUCUGUGGCUGUGAAGCACAGGGCCAUGUGUCACUUUGGACAAGAUGUGCUGGCACUCACUCUUCUUUCUGUUUGUCUUCUCUGCACUUUCCUUCCUUCUGACCACCGGGCUGAUUAGAGGAAGUUUCAUUUCCUGAUGCAUAUUUCUUCAACUCACACAUGAUCAACACAUUUAGUUAGCUGACUUACAACACAUUUAGUGUUGAUCAUGUAGUAACUGGAAUGUGAAUGGCUCCACAGGUCUCUAUGUUUGAAUGCUUGGUCCCCAGUUGGUAGAACUAUUUGGAACAGAUUAGGUGUGACCUUGCUGGGAGAGGUGUGUUAUUGGGGGAAGGCUUUGAGAUUUCAAAAGACUUGAACCAUUCCCAGUCACUGUCUGCCUCCUACUUGUAGAUUGCUAUGUCUUUGCCAUCGUGGACUCUAACCCUCUGAAAUUGUAAGCCCCAAAUGAAAUGUUUUCUUUUAUAAGGUGCCUUGGUCAUGGUGUUUCAUCACAGCCAUAGGAAAGUAACUAAGACAGUCACUAACAUCACACGGUUUCCAUCAUUGAAUUUGUAUUAGUGAGAUGGAGACUCUGAACCUAUCCAGAAAUCAGAAUGUCCCAUUGUGCAUCUAACUCUCACAAAGAAUUCAACUCCCACCUCUGCCCCACCAAAAUACCUUUCACAUUAAAAUAUUUUUGCCUUUCAUGGACCUUCGAGUUCACAAUUCAGAAAAACAAUGAAAAUUAGGAAGCCAACAAAUGUGGAUAGAGGUAAAAUGAUAACAGAAAAUGUAUCUAAUGCUCAUGCAUCUAAUUGAAAUAGGAUGGAUAUUCUGUUUCUUCACAUUGGGAACAAAAUAGUCAGUUGUCUGAAUUUAGCAACAGUAACCAUUCUUCCUGGAUUUUUAGUUACAUGACUAGCUGCAAGCAGACCUUGAGCAGCACUCAUGGUCAGAUCCUAGGUCAGCUGCUUGAAACUUGAGACCCUAAACUGGGCACAUGAUUUCUGUGGGCCUUACUAACUUGAUUUGGUCCACCUGGCUGGUGUGUGAAAGCUGUAAAGCAUUUAAAGGGCUGUGGCAUCUACUUCUAGCCUAGUAUAUAUUGGUACUUACUGUUUGAAUCACAAAGCUAGCUGACAUUUUGUGAUUACCCUAUAUGCCUGUUGUUGUCUUGAGAUUGGCUGUAUAAAUGUAUAAUGUAUUGCUGGAAAUAGCUUUAUCUACUAAUGGUGAGCAAUAAAGGCAUAUACCUUCAUUAUUUGAGAAGCUUUUUACUUAAUUAUCGAGAGUGAUUUAUUAACUUCUCUUCCUUGC